GUGAAUUCCAUUUUUACGGUUUUGUCAUCAUGAACUUUUCAGUGUGCUUCUUAGAAAAGAGCACGCAGUUUCUUUGUGGAAUCGUGUGGUCCUGGCACGGAUAUUCUUGAGCCAACGCUGGCUUUUGUCCAUGACCAACGUUCUGCUCCAUCCUUAUUUUCCCGACGUAAGCUCAUCCAGCUUCUGCUUCAUCGCUUCGUACACAAAAUAUAACUUAAGUCUUACUUCACUGACAAGUUGGAACACUUCAGUGGUCGCUUCCGUGCCGCUGUUACACACCUGCAGUCACUCACCACGGGAUUAUGCCCAGGUAAUGCAGAGGAAACCUCGAGAAGAUGGACAC